ACCACUCCAGUAUCUUUGCCAAGAAAAUCCCAAAUGGGAUCAGGAAGAAUUGGACAUGACUGAACAACAACGACAAUAGUAGGAAGUGAAAGGGGAAGAAACUCAAAUCUGUUUCUGUUCUUUGUGUCAGCAACUCUGAUAAAAAAAAAGAUUCAGUGAGGAAGAAAGUUGAAGGUAAUUAUUAAUUUAAAAAAAUGUAAAAUUUAAAAUUUUUUAAAUUUAAAAAAUAAUUGUGACUCUUACUCAUCCCCUGUCCAUUGUCACAGAGGAUAGGACAUAGUGAAUUCUCUUUCAGGGGUGGUUUUCAAUUAGAGGCUCAGGUAUAGGUUAUCUCAGAGGUCCGUUCCAACUCUAAGAUGCAAUGAUUCUAUGAAGUGAUUGUACAAGCUGUUUAAAAGACAAGUUCCCUGAAGGCAGGUAUCUCAAAGUCUGGGCUUAAGAGCAGUGAGGAAGAAUCAUGUAUUUCAGACUCCAUGACGAAUCAUUCUUAUUGCAAGGAUGAAGAGGUGGCUCUGAGUUCUCCAAGGCUGAACCAGAAGAGCAUAUAAGCUUUCUGCUUAGGCUCUGGUGGAGCCUGAGUUCAGGAAAAUUUCCCUGCUAGAUGUCACAAAACCUUGAUGGCAGAUUGUUAAAAAUUCCCCAGGCUUUCUCUCACAAAGUUUUCAUCAACCUUCCACAUUUUCAAUCGAAUGGACACCGGUUCUGAGAAGUGGAAGAUGCUGAGCUGAGCAACUGCUGGAGAAGCAAACAGCCUAAUGGAGAGUCUUUCAAAUGUGGCCUGGCUGCAAUGACCAGAAUCAUUCGGAGUGUGAUCUCUGUAUUUAUCAGUCAGGACCCAAAUUUCUGGCCAAGCAUGAGAUGGGAGGACAAGAUGAGGCCUUCUCACCUCUCCCUACCCCCAGCUCCUCUUUCUCUAGGAAGAAGCCAAUUCCUUGUUUGCUAGUCAAACCUUCUUGUUUUUCCUAUUGUCUCUUUCUGGCUGCGUCAGUUGGAUUGGGAAAUUCUAAUUUCCCCUUUUAAUUUGAUGUUUGUGCUAGUUAACCAGUUAUUAUUUAUCAAAGAAUAACUUGUUGGCUAACAAACCCAAGCUGCUGCAGUUAUUGCACUGGAAGAUUGAGAAAUGGAGCAAUUUCCCUCGCAAAGUUGGAAUGCUAUUGAAGUGUCUAUAUAUGUACAUAUGCAUGUACGUGACCUGAUAAAAACUAAACUCUGGGAGC